GGUUUGUGAUGGUGCGCGCUAAAGGCAAAACCGAUGCCUCAACUAAUAGAUCUGGAAGUGCUCCUGUUGCUUCUGAAGCUGUUUUGACAAAAGACUCCAGUGAGAUGGAAAACAACGUCGAAACUGGAGUCUUUGUGGAAACAGCAGUAACUGAGCAAACAACGAUCACUGUUGUUGCAGAAGAAGAAAAUGAUGGAGCAGAAGCUGAAACUUUGGAGGAAGAAAACAAUGGAUCAGAGGAAGAAAACGAUGGGUCAGAGGAAGAAAACAAUGGAUCAGAGGAAGAAAAUGAUGGAUCAGAAGAAGAAAAUGUUGGAGCAGGAAAAGAAAAUGAUGGAGCAGAAGCUGAAAUAGUGGAGGAAAAAAAUGAUGGAUCAGAAGAAGAACAUGAUGGAGCAGAACUUGAAUCUUUAGAGGGAGAACUUGCUAAGAAUGAAGAUUAUAAAGAAAAUGAAGUGGUUGGAGGGGAUGAAGCAUGUACUGCUGAUAAGAAAGCAGAAGAUGCUAAUGGUAAUGAUGAAGGUAUUAAGCAAGAAACUGCCAUAGAGCAGGAAGGUGUUAAACCGAGUGUAGGUAUGGAAAAAAAUGAAGAUGAAAUAAAUGCAAAGAAUAAGGAGGAAGUUGAAGGAAGUUUGAAACAAAAAACUAAGAGAUCGAGGAAAAGGAAUAAUAAUAGGAAGAGAAAGGCAAAUGGACCCCCCCAAGAGAAAGGCGAAGAUAAGCAAGUUCAAAAGAAAGUAGCCUCUAUUGGCAAGGGUGAGAAAGACUCAAGAAAAUUGGACUCAAAAACUGUUGAGCAAAGCUCUAAGAAAGUUGCUUAUGAAGAUAACUCUAGGGUGGCCCCUAAGGAUAUUGAUCUUGAAGGAAAAGACAAACCCGAGUCAUCAAGAAAGAAGUCUUUUGCAAAGAAGAAGGCUAAUAGCAUGGGUAUGAUCUUCAUGUGCAACUCUGAGACUAAGAAGGAUUGCUACCGUUACAAGGUUCUAGGAUUGCCAGCAAACAAGAAAGAGACCGUGGAAAAAAUUUACAAGGGGAUGCGGCUUUUCCUAUAUGAUAUUGACUUGAAGUUGAUGUAUGGGAUCUACAAAGCUGCAGGACGUGGUGGUUGUAACAUUCAACCCAAGGCGUUCAACUCUCAAUUUCCAUCUCAGGUUAGCUUGUUGUGCUAUCAAUGGCCUCUUAAUCUUCGAUUGCCUUUCUCCUUCUAAAAAAAUUGUCAGCUACGGACAAUGUUUCUAGUUGACAUAUGAGAGAAGUACCCUUUUGUGGAGAAUUGCUAGUUUAUAAAUGUUUGCAUGAGCACAUUUAAGCUUGAAGUUUCAAGUAAGGAUGUUUGAACACGGUUUAGGUCAAUUUGGUUAAAAAAAAUUUAAUUUUUGGUUAU
rnacentral:lncRNA from 1 species